AAGAAUCGCAGGGACUUCUUGGUAAAUCAAAUUGUUUAAGUAUUAGGAUUUCUGUGGUUGAUGUGAUGGCAAGACUGUAUCGGUUUAGAUAUGGCAGUUUGGUGAUGCAGAUGAGGUGUUUGUUUAUAGGUUACAAUGAAAAUUCAGAAGUGACUCGGCGCGGGAAGCAACUACCAGCUGAAAAUUAAGAAGAUGUAUAAGAUUUGGAUGAGUAAGAGAAGUGCUCCAAAAAAGUAUUAGUUUUUUUAAGAUUGAUGUUUUUUGUUUUAUUUUCAUCUUAUGACCAUUUUUUUGAGUAGACACGGUUGUGGGCAAAAUUUCUUUCGUAGAUUAAAAAGUAUGAUGUGGAGACUGGAGCCUGAGACCCCACCCAAAAUUUUCGUAAUCCAGAAACGUUAAGUUAUUAUUUAUGUAUUUCAUAUGCUUCUAGCCAUAAUUUUAUUUUUUAACAAUUGAAUUUAGUCAUACAAAUUGACUGUGCUUAAUAUGAUAUAACUUCCUAUAAACUGUAAAUAUAAAUUUUAUUAAAAUUUUAAAAAUUUAUUUUUAUUAUCUACCCGCUGUAUCGCGCGGGUCUCUACACUAGUUAGAGAAUGACUUUUGUAUUAUUUAACAUGAUGUGUAUCAAAGUAAAGUCUCAAGCCCCGAAGAAAAGUAUUAAUAUCAGCAUAUAAAAAUAUUAAUUAUUUUCUAUCAGCUUAAUUUUUUAAAGAAUAACGACACUUUUCUUUAUGUAAGAAGACUAUAAUUCUAUUU
rnacentral:lncRNA from 1 species